UUUUUUUUUUUUAAAUUGUUCAUUUUGAUGGUACAGAGUAAAAGAUGCCAUUUUUUUUUUUUAAAUUAUUAGUGGCAAAAUGUGAUUUACUCAUUCUUUUUUACUUAUGUCUGAAUAAAAUCUUGUACUACAAACUUUUGUCGGCAUUUGAACAAGAAACUUUGGAUUACUGCAUUCGCUAUUAUGGAGAUUAGAAGGACGUUUGGGAUUUUUUUCAUAUUUUUGGUUGUGAUGGCUGCUCAGGUGAGCAUCCCUGGUGCGGAAGCAAAACAUUGCAUAUCAAAGAGUAAGAAAUACAAGAAAUUUUGUCUACACGACCAGAAUUGUACUAAAAUCUGCAGGACUGAGGGAUUCUCUCGUGGGAGAUGUCAAGGCUUUCCUCUUUAUUGUUACUGCAUUAGAAAAUUAUAGGCAUUGGACAAAUAUGAUUCACCAGAAGCUCCGGGCAAAAUCCUCUCAGUUUCUGUCGAUCCCAGGCGCCUCUGUCCCAAUGAUAAUUCACUUUCUGUUGCGCGUAUUCAGACGCUUGAGCUCUAAUGUACAAAGGUUUCUUUCCACACCAUCAAUCACACCAGAAAGAUAUGUCUCUGUUGCCAAGUGCCAAGAAUUGUAUCUGUUGGACUCUGCUUUAAUUCUCUAUAUCCUCCUCCAAGUGUAGGAAUAGUUUUUGCAAUAUUCCACGCAGCUGGGAAUGUUAUUUCAACAACAUUUGUUAUGCAAAUACAUCGCCUACAAAGAGUUGUUUGAAUGAUCCACUGAAAAGAAAGUCGCACGACUAAUUGUAAUAGCAACAAGAUACAUAUAUUUUAGAUAGCAAUUGGUAUCAUAUCCUAAUCACUGAUUAAUAUCAUUAUAAAAUUGGAUUGUUUUA